UUAACGGAGCUUUAACGGAACCUCACUGUAGUCAGUUCCUCAACCUAAACUAUGUGUACAAAGGUAAGAUGACAACAACUAAUUUCUAAUCAUCAUUUACAUGUACUUUGACAUGCUACAAGUUUUACACUUUUUUCACCUUUACAGUUAUAUUUUAGUUUCUCAGUUUUGAUGGCUUGUUAUACUGUCAGCAUCUGAAUCAGCAUUAGUUUUAUUACACAAGGAACGUUCCUUGAAUAGUCCUAUAGCACGGGGACCAACAACAGCCAGCUGCUGUGUUGAGAGAAUCCCAGGAUACCGUUCCACAAAGCUGCCUUUCCUUACCAAGACUUACAUGAAGACUGGCAUCGGUCUGUGGAUCUGGAUCCAGAUGUACAUGUUAUUUUAGCCUUAGUAUAUACCAUCUUAUUGUUAAUGUUAUCUGUGUCACAAGAAGGGAGUCUUUGCUUAGUCAUUGCCAGGGCUGUAAGAAAUAAUGGUGAGAAAUCAGUACGUUUAACAGUGGUGUCCGGUAGGGCUGUGACGAUUCGGUUUGAUCGAAAUCAAAUCAGACACCUUAGUUUCGAUUUUUGAUAAGCAUAAUGCUAGUAUCACUAUUUCGAUUCGAUAUUUGAAUAUCUAUUUAAAUUAUUUCCACACAGAGAGAAUGUAAUUUUGACUCCAACCAAUACAGCGCUUAAAUUAGGUGAAACGUGAUUGGUUGAUGCUGGACUAAUUAUCCAAUGAGAACUGUUGAUGGUAGACAUCACCAAAGUGCUGUUCUGUGGUUAAACAUCAUAUUAUAUUUGUUUGAAAAAGGUUACAUCCUUUACAUUCCUGAUUUCCUUGGAAAAUCUUGGAGAAAGGUUUUCAAUGUGAUACGUUUUGUUUAAUCAUUUCUGAGAGUUAAAUUAAAUCUGAUGUUUUUUGUAUGAAGAAUCAAAUCGAAAAUGAUCAAAUCGAGGGUCCAAUAUCAAAACUCGAAUCGAGGUCUGCGUGAGUCGCUGCAGCCCUAGUGUCCAGUCUCUUGUGGCGACUGACCACAGUGUGACAUAUACAAAUGUAUUCACCAGAGGUGUUUCAGUUGCAACCUUAAGUCAUGAAAUAUACUCCUGUACCUACCAAAGAUUUUGGCUCUUUUAAACCUGUACAUGCAUCCUAUAAUAUACGGAGGCUCUUAACAGAGGAUAUAUGUCACAAUGUUUUAACUCUUGUUCACAAUUAGUCAUCCUCCUUUUGUUUCAAUGGUUUUCCUAGUCUGACAGUUUUCUCCCAGUCAUAUUUUGUUGUUUUAUUUGUGAGAUCUGUUUGACACGAGCAACACCCUGGUUCCAGCUUGCCGCGUAUUUUCAUCAAAGGCUGAAAUGCUAAAUAUUACUUGUAUCGUUUGUAUUUAUAACGUGACAUUAUAUAUUUACAUGACAUUCUCCACAUGCCUUGAUAAGGGACACAAUAGGCUACAGGUACAUCUGCAGAUUACAGGUACAUCAUGCACACAUGUAGACGACGGAGGUGGGCAUGAGGAACAGGUACAUCUGCAGAUUACAGGUACAUCAUGCACACCUGAAGACGACGGAGGUGGGCAUGUAGAUACAGGUACAUCUGCAGAUUACAGGUACAUCAUGCACACAUGUAGACGACGGAGGUGGGCAUGAGGAACAGGUACAUCUGCAGAUUACAGGUACAUCAUGCACACAUGUAGACGACGGAGGUGGGCAUGUAGAUACAGGUACAUCUGCAGAUUACAGGUACAUCAUGCACACAUGUAGACGACGGAGGUGGGCAUGUAGAUACAGGUACAUCUGCAGAUUACAGGUACAUCAUGCACACAUGUAGACGACGGAGGUGGGCAUGUAGAUACAGGUACAUCUGCAGAUUACAGGUACAUCAUGCACACAUGUAGACGACGGAGGUGGGCAUGUAGAUACAGGUACAUCUGCAGAUUACAGGUAUAUCAUGCACACAUGUAGACGACGGAGGUGGGCAUGUAGAUACAGGUACAUCUGCAGAUUACAGGUACAUCAUGCACACAUGUAGACGACGGAGGUGGGCAUGUAGAUACAGGUACAUCUGCAGAUUACAGGUAUAUCAUGCACACAUGUAGACGACGGAGGUGGGCAUGUAGAUACAGGUACAUCUGCAGAUUACAGGUAUAUCAUGCACACUUGUAGACGACGGAGGUGGGCAUGUAGAUACAGGUACAUCUGCAGAUUACAGGUAUAUCAUGCACACAUGUAGAUGACGGAGGUGGGCUUGUAGCUGCAGCUUGGAAUAGGUUAGUGAGAAUCUCGAGACAAGAAUGAGUGUUUGUCUGAGUUAUAUAAUAUAAUGUUUGCAGAUGGUUAGGUUAUUUUAAUGUCACUUCACUGAUUUUGUUUCAUAAAUGAUUCCUGGACAUAUUUCAAUAUUUCUAAUUACACAAAACAAAGCCCUCAAAUGUGAGAUUUUAAGGCUGAAAUGUGAUAUGUAAUAGUGAAAUAAGCACAUUCUGAUAUCUGUAAGAAUUCAGAAGAGUUUAUCUCAUGUACAGAAUAUAAUUUGUAUGUCAGUGUUUAUGAAGGUACAUCUUCAUGACAGUUUGUCAGUUCAAUAAUGUUCAAAACAAAUGACAUACAGUUCAUGUAGCAGUAUUUUAUUUAUGUCAAAUCAAAUCGUUUGAAAUUUUAUGUGCAUAAACUUAAUAUGUUGAAAGUUUUCUUGUUUAUCAAAUUUUACUCCAGCCUAAAAGUUGAUCUAUAAUGAGAGUGAUAGGAGCGAUAUGUAAAUAUUAUUCUUGAAGGUGGUUCCAGUGUUUAUAACAAA
rnacentral:lncRNA from 1 species